UACGAAGGGGGCUAGCGUUGCUCGGAAUCACUGGGCUUAAAGCGCACAUAGGCGGCUUUUUAAGUCAGGGGUGAAAUCCUGGAGCUCAACUCCAGAACUGCCUUUGAUACUGGGAAGCUUGAGUCCGGGAGAGGUGAGUGGAACUCCGAGUGUAGAGGUGAAAUUCGUAGAUAUUCGGAAGAACACCAGUGGCGAAGGCGGCUCUCUGGGACGGUACUGACGCUGAGACGCGAAAGCGUGGGGAGCGAACAGG
rnacentral:rRNA from 1 species